CUACUCAAUUUAGCAUCACAUAUGCUAAAAUUGGAACAGUAAAGAGAAUUAGUGUGGUCCUUGUGUAAGAAUGACAUGCAAAUUUCUGAUAUUUACUGCCAAGCUUA
rnacentral:snRNA from 1 species